AGUGAACGCUGGCGGUAGGCCUAACACAUGCAAGUCGAACGGCAGCACAGUAAGAGCUUGCUCUUACGGGUGGCGAGUGGCGGACGGGUGAGGAAUACAUCGGAAUCUACUUUUUCGUGGGGGAUAACGUAGGGAAACUUACGCUAAUACCGCAUACGACCUACGGGUGAAAGCAGGGGAUCUUCGGACCUUGCGCGAUUGAAUGAGCCGAUGUCGGAUUAGCUAGUUGGCGGGGUAAAGGCCCACCAAGGCGACGAUCCGUAGCUGGUCUGAGAGGAUGGUCAGCCACACUGGAACUGAGACACGGUCCAGACUCCUACGGGAGGCAGCAGUGGGGAAUAUUGGACAAUGGGCGCAAGCCUGAUCCAGCCAUACCGCGUGGGUGAAGAAGGCCUUCGGGUUGUAAAGCCCUUUUGUUGGGAAAGAAAAGCAGCAGGUUAAUACCCCGCUGUUCCGACGGUACCCAAAGAAUAAGCACCGGCUAACCUCGUG
rnacentral:rRNA from 1 species